rnacentral:rRNA from 1 species
UCAGGACGAACGCUGGCGGCGUGCUUAACACAUGCAAGUCGAGCGGAAAGGCCACUUCGGUGGUACUCGAGCGGCGAACGGGUGAGUAACACGUGAGUAAUCUGCCCCUGGCUUUGGGAUAGCCACCGGAAACGGUGAUUAAUACCGGAUACGACAACUUCUUGCAUGAGAUGGUUGUGGAAAGUUUUUCGGCCAGGGAUGUGCUCGCGGCCUAUCAGCUUGAUGGUGAGGUAAUGGCUCACCAUGGCUUCGACGGGUAGCCGGCCUGAGAGGGUGACCGGCCACACUGGGACUGAGACACGGCCCAGACUCCUACGGGAGGCAGCAGUGGGGAAUAUUGGACAAUGGGCGGAAGCCUGAUCCAGCAACGCCGCGUGAGGGAUGACGGCCUUCGGGUUGUAAACCUCUUUCAGCAGGGACGAAGCGCAAGUGACGGUACCUGCAGAAGAAGCACCGGCCAACUACGUGCCAGCAGCCGCGGUAAUACGUAGGGUGCGAGCGUUGUCCGGAAUUAUUGGGCGUAAAGGGCUCGUAGGCGGUUUGUCGCGUCGGGAGUGAAAACCAGGUGCUUAACACCUGGCUUGCUUUCGAUACGGGCAGACUAGAGGUAUUCAGGGGAGAACGGAAUUCCUGGUGUAGCGGUGAAAUGCGCAGAUAUCAGGAGGAACACCGGUGGCGAAGGCGGUUCUCUGGGAAUGACCUGAC